rnacentral:rRNA from 1 species
UACGUAGGCGGCAAGCGUUAUCCGGAAUUAUUGGGCGUAAAGAGCGCGCAGGUGGUUGAUUAAGUCUGAUGUGAAAGCCCACGGCUCAACCGUGGAAGGUCAUUGGAAACUGGGGAACUUGAGUGCAGAAGAGGAGAGUGGAAUUCCAUGUGUAGCGGUGAAAUGCGUAGAUAUAUGGAGGAACACCAGUGGCGAAGGCGACUCUCUGGUCUGUAACUGACGCUGAGGCUCGAAAGCGUGGGGAGCAAACAGGAUUA